AGGACGAACGCUGGCGGCGUGCUUAACACAUGCAAGUCGAGCGGAAAGGCCCUUCGGGGUACUCGAGCGGCGAACGGGUGCGUAACACGUGAGCGACCUUGCCUCGUGGUGGGGGAUAGCCGGCCCAACGGCCGGGUAAUACCGCAUAUGGUAGUUUCUUCGCAUGGGGAGACUAGCAAAGCCUUGCAGCAAUGCAAUGGCGCCACAGGGGGGGCUCGCGGCCUAUCAGCUAGUUGGGGGGGUAAUGGCCCACCAAGGCGACGACGGGUAGC
rnacentral:rRNA from 1 species